CCCGCUGAACUUAAGCAUAUCAAUAAGGCGAGGAACAGAAACCAACAGGGAUUCCCUCAGUAGUGGCGAAUGAAGCGGGAAAAGCUCAAGUUUGAAAUCUGUUAGGUAACUAUCAGAGUUGUAAGCUGAAGAGGUGUCGAUGGACGCGGAUCGAGUUUAAUUUCCUUGGAAUAGGAAUUCAUGGAGGGUGAGAAUCCCGUGUGUGACUUGAAUACCGUUGUCAUUGUGUCGUAUCCUCGAAGAGUCGGGUUGUUUGGGAAUGCAGCUCAAAAUGGGUGGUAAAUUUCAUCUAAAGCUAAAUAUUGGCAAGAGACCGAUAGCAAACAAGUAGAGUGAUCGAAAGAUGAAAAGAACUUUGAAAAGAGAGUGAAAAAGUACGUGAAAUUGUUGAAAGGGAAGCGUUUGGCAUCAGUCCAUGGCGCAAGUUGAUCAUCCAAGCUUCUGUUUGGUGCACUUGACUAGCGUUGGGCCAGCGUCGGCUUUGCUCGUUGGAGAAAGAUCUUGGGAAUGUGGCUCCUUUUGGAGUGUUAUAGCCCUUGAUGCCAUACAACGUGGUAGGGUCGAGGUCUGCGGAUUUAUCCUAGGACGUUGGCGUAAUGGUUCCAAGCGACCCGUCUUGAAACACGG
rnacentral:rRNA from 1 species